rnacentral:rRNA from 1 species
GAUGAACGCUGGCGGCGUGCCUAAUACAUACAAGUCGAGCGAACGGACGAGAAGCUUGCUUCUCUGAUGUUAGCGGCGGACGGGUGAGUAACACGUGGAUAACCUACCUAUAAGACUGGGAUAACUUCGGGAAACCGGAGCUAAUACCGGAUAAUAUUUUGAACCGCAUGGUUCAAAAGUGAAAGACGGUCUUGCUGUCACUUAUAGAUGGAUCCGCGCUGCAUUAGCUAGUUGGUAAGGUAACGGCUUACCAAGGCAACGAUGCAUAGCCGACCUGAGAGGGUGAUCGGCCACACUGGAACUGAGACACGGUCCAGACUCCUACGGGAGGCAGCAGUAGGGAAUCUUCCGCAAUGGGCGAAAGCCUGACGGAGCAACGCCGCGUGAGUGAUGAAGGUCUUCGGAUCGUAAAACUCUGUUAUUAGGGAAGAACAUAUGUGUAAGUAGCUGUGCACAUCUUGACGGUACCUAAUCAGAAAGCCACGGCUAACUACGUG